GAGAUCACAGUUGUUCACAGUCAGUUACAGAUUGAACUCGUUGUUCUACUACUUUCCCCUCUCCUCACUGCUGCACUUGACUAGUCUUAA
rnacentral:Y_RNA from 1 species